GUGAAUCAUCGAAUUUUUGAACGCAAAUUGCACUCUCUUCUGAGAGUAUGACUGUUUGAGUGUCAGCCUAAAAAAAACCGACAUAGUUGAUGAUACGCGUUAACAUUCGUCGGAAAUUGGGUCAUCUUAAACCUUUGGGUUUAAGCGGCUUAAAAUGGUCUUUACGAUUCCAAGAACGAGUCUAAGAUUUUAUUUUAUUAUA
rnacentral:misc_RNA from 1 species